GGGGGGGGGGGGGGGGGGGGCGAGGGCGGGGGGGGCGGGCUCGCGGGCGAGAGGCGGGGGGGGCGGGGGGGAGCGGCGGACGGGUGAGUAACGCGGUGGUAAGCCACCGAUCCGACUGGGAGGACUUCGUGACGCCGUAGUUGACAGCGGAGACUGUUUUUAACCGCAUGAUUCCCAACUGAAAGACGGUCUGGCUGUCCGUUCUCGCUGCAUCUGCGCUGCAUUAGCUAGUUGGUAAGGUAACGGCUUACUAAGGCAACGAUGCAUAGCCGACCUGAGAGGGUGAUCGGCCACACUGGAACUGAGCCACGGUCCAGACUCCUACGGGAGGCAGCAGGAGGGAAUCUUCCGCAAUGGGCGAAAGCCUGACGGAGCAACGCCGCGUGAGUGAUGAAGGUCUUCGGAUCGUAAAACUCUGUUAUUAGGGAAGAACAUAUGUGUAAGUAACUGUGCACAGCUUGACGGUACCUAAACAGAAAGCCACGGCUAACUACGUG
rnacentral:rRNA from 1 species